rnacentral:rRNA from 1 species
CCUACGGGCGGCAGCAGUGAGGAAUAUUGGUCAAUGGUCGGGAGACUGAACCAGCCAAGCCGCGUGAGGGAUGAAGGUACAGAGUAUCGUAAACCUCUUUUGUCAGGGAACAAAGGCGGGGACGCGUCCCCGGAUGAGUGUACCUGAAGAAAAAGCAUCGGCUAACUCCGUGCCAGCAGCCGCGGUAAUACGGAGGAUGCGAGCGUUAUCCGGAUUUAUUGGGUUUAAAGGGAGCGCAGGCGGUCUGUUAAGUCAGCGGUCAAAGCCCGGGGCUCAACCCCGGACCGCCGUUGAAACUGGCAGUCGCGAGUUGGAGAGAAGUAUGCGGAAUGCGCGGUGUAGCGGUGAAAUGCAUAGAUAUCGCGAAGAACUCCGAUUGCGAAGGCAGCAUGCCGGCUCCACACUGACGCUGAGGCACGAAAGCGUGGGUAUCGAACAGGAUUAGAUACCCGAGUAGUC